rnacentral:rRNA from 1 species
AUUGAACGCUGGCGGCAUGCCUUACACAUGCAAGUCGAACGGUAACGCGGGGCAACCUGGCGACGAGUGGCGAACGGGUGAGUAAUGCAUCGGAACGUGCCCAGUAGUGGGGGAUAGCCCGGCGAAAGCCGGAUUAAUACCGCAUACGACCUACGGGUGAAAGCGGGGGACCGUAAGGCCUCGCGCUAUUGGAGCGGCCGAUGUCAGGUUAGGUUGUGGGUGGGGUAAAGGCCUACCAAGCCGACGAUCUGUAGCUGGUCUGAGGGGACGACCUGCCACACUGGGACUAAGACACGGCCCAGAAUCCUACGGGAGGCAGCAGUGGGGAAUUUUGGACAAUGGGGGCAACCCUGAUCCAGCCAUGCCGCGUGCGGGAAAAAGGCCUUCGGGUUGUAAACCGCUUUUAUCAGGGAAGAAACGCUUUGGGCUAAUACCCCGGGGUAAUGACGGUACCUGAAGAAUAAGCACCGGCUAACUACGUGCCAGCAGCCGCGGUAACAC